rnacentral:rRNA from 1 species
UACGUAGGGGGCGAGCGUUGUCCGGAUUUAUUGGGCGUAAAGAGCGUGUGGGCGGCCAAGCAGGUCCGCUGUGAAAACUCGAGGCUCAACCUCGAGACGUCGGUGGAAACCGUUUGGCUAGAGUCCGGAAGAGGAGAGUGGAAUUCCCGGUGUAGCGGUGAAAUGCGCAGAUAUCGGGAAGAACACCCGUGGCGAAGGCGGCUCUCUGGGACGGUACUUACGCUGAGACGCGAAAGCGUGGGGAGCGAACAGG